rnacentral:rRNA from 1 species
GCUUAACACAUGCAAGUCGAGGGGCAGCGAGGGAGUGGCAACACUUCUGUCGGCGACCGGCGCACGGGUGAGUAACGCGUAUGCAACCUGCCCUUCACAGGGGGAUAACCGGGAGAAAUUCCGACUAAUACCGCAUACGUCCUCCGGGGGCAUCCCCGGAGGAUGAAAGAAUUAUCGGUGAAGGAUGGGCAUGCGUGAUAUUAGGUAGUUGGCGGGGCAACGGCCCACCAAGCCCACGAUAUCUAGGGGUUCUGAGAGGAAGGUCCCCCACAUUGGUACUGAGACACGGACCAAACUCCUACGGGAGGCAGCAGUGAGGAAUAUUGGUCAAUGGACGAGAGUCUGAACCAGCCAAGUCGCGUGAAGGAAGACGGAUCUAUGGUUUGUAAACUUCUUUAGUGCGGGAACAAAGCGGCGUCGAGACGCUUGAUGAGUGUACCGCAAGAAUAAGCAUCGGCUAACUCCGUGCCAGCAGCCGCGGUAAUACGGAGGAUGCGAGCGUUAUCCGGAUUUAUUGGGUUUAAAGGGAGCGCAGGCUGCGAGGCAAGUCAGCGGUCAAAUGUCGGGGCUCAACCCCGGCCUGCCGUUGAAACUGUCCUGCUAGAGUUCGAGUGAGGUAUGCGGAAUGCGUUGUGUAGCGGUGAAAUGCAUAGAUAUGACGCAGAACUCCGAUUGCGAAGGCAGCAUACCAACUCGCGACUGACGCUGAGGCUCGAAAGCGUGGGUAUCGAACAGGAUUAGAUACCCAGGUAGUCCACGCAGUAAACGAUGAAUACUAACUGUUCGGAGGGCGACCUCU